UACCAGCACCCCGAGUGGUCGGGACGAUUAUUGGGCCUAAAGCAUCCGUAGCCGGUCUUGCAAGUCUUCCGUUAAAUCCAGCUGCUUAACAGAUGGGCUGCGGAAGAUACUACAAGACUAGGAGGCGGGAGAGGCAAGCGGUACUCAGUGGGUAGGGGUAAAAUCCUCUGAUCCAUUGAAGACCACCAGUGGCGAAGGCGGAUCUCUGGGCCAUUACUGACGCUGAGGAGCGAAAGCGUGGGGAGCGAACAGG
rnacentral:rRNA from 1 species